rnacentral:rRNA from 1 species
CAGAAGGAUGCAAGCGUUAUCCGGAUUCAUUGGGUUUAAAGGGAGCGUAGGUGGCCUUAUAAGUCAGUGGUGAAAUCUCUGGGCUUAACCCAGAAAUUGCCAUUGAUACUGUAGGGCUUGAGUAUAGAUGCCGUUGGCGGAAUAUGACAUGUAGUGGUGAAAUACAUUAGAGAUGUCAUAGAACACCGAUUGCGAAGGCAGCUAACGAAACUAUAACUGACACUGAGGCUCGAAAGUGUGGGGAGUCAAACAGG